rnacentral:rRNA from 1 species
GACGAACGCUGGCGGCGGGCUUAACACAUGCAAGUCGAGCGGAAAGGCGCGGGUGUGGUGGGGUGGUGGAUAAGGGAAGGGGUUAGUAACACGUGUGUGACCUGGCCUUGACUUAGGGAUAACUUCAGGAAACUGGGGCUAAUGGCGGAUAGGAGCUCCGGCUGCAUGGUGGGGGUGGGAAAGUUUCGGCGGUUCGGGAUGGAGUCGCGGCUUAUCAGCUUGCUGGUGGGGGAGUGGCUUGACAAGGCUUUGACGGGUAGCAGGCCUGAGAGGGUGACCGGCCACACUGGGCCUGAGCUGCGGCCCAGACUCCUCCGGGACGCAGCAGUGGAGAAUAUUGCCCAAUGGGCGGAGGCCUGCUGUAGCAACGCCGCGUGCGGGAUGACGGCAUUCGGGUUGUAAUCCGCUUCCGCCUCUGCUGAAGCGUGAGUGACGGUAAUGGGUAAAGAAGCCCCGGCUAACUACGUG